GGGCGCGCAGGCGGUUUCUUAAGUCUGAUGUGAAAGCCCCCGGCUCAACCGGGGAGGGUCAUUGGAAACUGGGGAACUUGAGUGCAGAAGAGGAGAGUGGAAUUCCACGUGUAGCGGUGAAAUGCGUAGAGAUGUGGAGGAACACCAGUGGCGAAGGCGACUCUCUGGUCUGUAACUGACGCUGAGGAGCGAAAGCGUGGGGAGCGAACAGGAUUAGAUACCCUGGUAGUCCACGCCGUAAACGAUGAGUGCUAAGUGUUAGGGGGUUUCCGCCCCUUAGUGCUGCAGCUAACGCAUUAAGCACUCCGCCUGGGGAGUACGGUCGCAAGACUGAAACUCAAAGGAAUUGACGGGGGCCCGCACAAGCGGUGGAGCAUGUGGUUUAAUUCGAAGCAACGCGAAGAACCUUACCAGGUCUUGACAUCCGCUGACAACCCUAGAGAUAGGACGUCCCCUUCGGGGGCAGAGAGACACGUGGUGCAUGGGUGUCGUCAGCUCGCGUCGCGAGAUGUUGGGUUAAGUCCCGCAACGAGCGCAACCCUUGAGCUUAGUUGCGAGCAUUCAGUUGGGCACUCUAAAGUGACUGCGGGUGACACACCGGAGGAGAGUGUGGAUGACAUCUCAUCAUCAUGCGCCUUAUGACCUGUGCUACACACGUGCUACACUGUACAGAACACAGGGGAGCGAAACCGCGAGG
rnacentral:rRNA from 1 species